rnacentral:misc_RNA from 1 species
GAAUGAAGAACGUAGCGAAAUGCGAUAAGUAAUGUGAAUUGCAGAAUUCAGUGAAUCAUCGAAUCUUUGAACGCACAUUGCGCCCGUCAGUAUUCUGGCGGGCAUGCCUGUUCGAGCGUCAUUACGCCCCUCAAGUCCCCUGUGGACUUGGUGUUGGGGAUCGGCGAGGCUGGUUUUCCAGCACAGCCGUCCCUUAAAUUAAUUGGCGGUCUCGCCGUGGCCCUCCUCUGCGCAGUAGUAAAACACUCGCAACAGGAGCCCGGCGCGGUCCACUGCCGUAAAACCCCCCAACUUUUUAUAGUUGACCUCGAAUCAGGUAGGACUACCCGCUGAACUUAAGCAUAUCAAUAAGCGGAGGA